rnacentral:rRNA from 1 species
CAGGGAAUCUUGCACAAUGGGCGAAAGCCUGAUGCAGCGACGCCGCGUGGGGGAUGAAGGCCCUAGGGUCGUAAACCCCUUUCAGCAGGGACGAAGAUGACGGUACCUGCAGAAGAAGCCCCGGCCAACUACGUGCCAGCAGCCGCGGUAAGACGUAGGGGGCGAGCGUUGUCCGGAUUUAUUGGGCGUAAAGAGCUCGUAGGCGGUUGCGUAAGUCGGAUGUGAAAACUCAGGGCUCAACCCUGAGACGCCAUCCGAUACUGCGCUGACUUGAAUCCAGUAGGGGAGUGCGGAAUUCCUGGUGUAGCGGUGAAAUGCGCAGAUAUCAGGAGGAACACCCAUGGCGAAGGCAGCACUCUGGGCUGGUAUUGACGCUGAGGAGCGAAAGCAUGGGUAGCGAACAGGAUUAGAUACCCUAGUAGUCCCUGAGCGGGCUGGCAAGGCGCAU